rnacentral:miRNA from 1 species
GGUGUGAUUAUAAAGCAGUGAGACUGAUUUGGGGUGUGCAGCUUCUGGAAUCAGUCUCAUUACUUUCUACUCUCACCU